AUAAAUGUUAUGCAAGGGUGUAAUUUUUCUCACAAUAUUAUUUAUUUAGUAUCACGUUUCUUACAUAACCCGAUUAAUCACAGAACGAACACUGCCUGCACAUUCUAAUGGUACAAUUACACUUGCGGUAAUCGACCCCAGAUAUUGUGAAAAAUUAAAGUUGCAGUAUAAUUGUGAUAUCUCUCACUGCGGUAAAGUCAGAUUUCCAGGGCUGAAAUAUAACCAAGAAAUGAAUGAAUUAUCUACAACUUCAUGCGGAAUUAUCUCGUUAUAUCUGUGAAUUCGUCGUGGUUGUUUCGAUUUCUGCGAGAAAUCCAGCUGUUUCACGAUCCACCGAAAACCGGUAUUUCUUGAAUACGGCUUUUUAUUGUACCUUCUACGUCAGACGAAAAUCGCACCGACUCAACAUAAAAAAAGAGUGCUAAUAUACUUCAUUGACCAGAGGGUUUUCUGCAAGUAAAACAUCCAAAGCAAUAUCUAAUUACUAUUCCGCAGAAGCUGAUGCUGCUUACGUAAGAAUCAUAUACCCAGCUAUUUUUGCAGAUGAUGUGCAUGCAGGUCACGUAUGUCGUACGGUACACAUACAUGGAUAUUGUCCACUGGCCCACAUGCACAUGUAACAUAUUAUUUUGUACCAUAAAUUUGCGGUACGCAUUGCAAAUUAUAAGGUAUUUACCUCAAGGCGCAUCAGCUGUUUCCGGAAACAAUUAUUCGAUUAUAAUCGGUAAUAGUAUCUGGUUACGAUAACACACAAGUGCACGUAUACAUAAUUUUAUUCAAGUUCGAAUAAUCCCCCGUUCUCCUUACUGCUCGUGGAGUUGAUGAUACAGUUCAAGGUCUCGGCGAACGAAACGGAAAUUAUUAUCUUGUAAGUUUGGCGAGCGAAUCAGUGCCGUAUAUUACGUGAAAGCACAGGAAAUGAUAACAUGUUAAUUAAACUUAAUUUGCAUUUCGUAGAGAGGGAAAACUACGGGUCGAUUUUUACUUCAAAACCCAAAGACAGGGAAUAAAUUACCGUAUAACGCCUUGAGCGGUAUGGUAAAAGAUCAUGCGAUGCGACACCGAAUUUUUAAUGACAUUCACAUGAGUUCGUUAUUGGUCUGGUCUGAUAUUCUUGAAUCGUGAGCUCCAGCACUUUUGUACAAAAUAUAAUUACGUUUCCAAGUAAGGAAUUCUCUUCGACGAUAAAGUUGACUACAUUAUGUGCAUAUUCUUCUCGUGGA